UACGAAGGGGGCUAGCGUUGCUCGGAAUCACUGGGCGUAAAGCGCACGUAGGCGGAUCUUUAAGUCAGGGGUGAAAUCCCAAGGCUCAACCUUGGAACUGCCUUUGAUACUGGGGAUCUCGAGUCCGGAAGAGGUGAGUGGAACUGCGAGUGUAGAGGUGAAAUUCGUAGAUAUUCGCAAGAACACCAGUGGCGAAGGCGGCUCACGGGUCCGGUACUGACGCUGAGGUGCGAAAGCGUGGGGAGCAAACAGG
rnacentral:rRNA from 1 species